rnacentral:rRNA from 1 species
CCUUCGGAGAGUUUGAUCAUGGCUCAGGACGAACGCUGGCGGCGUGCCUAAAACAUGCAAGUCGAACGUCCCCCUUCGGGGGGUAAGUGGCGAACGGCGGAGUAAUACAUGAGGAAGCUGCCUCGAAGACUGGGAUAUACGGUCGAAAGACCGGGCAAUACCAGAUGUGGCUCCAGAAGGGCAUCCUUUUGGAAUCAAACGGCGCAAGUCGCUUCGAGAGGCUCUCAUGGCCUAUCAGGUAGUUGGUGGGGUAACGGCCUACCAAGCCUACGACGGGUAGCGGGUCUGAGAGGACGAUCCGCUCGAGUGGGACUGAGACACGGCCCACACACCUACGGGUGGCAGCAGUUGGGAAUCUUGCACAAUGGGGGCAACCCUGAUGCAGCGACGCCGCGUGGAAGACGAAGGCCCUAGGGUCGUAAAUUCCUUUUGUCGAGGAAGACUUAGGACGGUACUCGACGAAUAAGCACCGGCUAACUACGUGCCAGCAGCCGCGGUAAUACGUAGGGUGCAA